ensembl:lncRNA
GUGAAGUUCUUAGCACAGUAUCUGGCACAUAGUUAGCACUCAGUAAACAUUAGCUAAAAGUUACAAGUUAAAUAUUAUUACAUCCACUUGAAACAUGAGGAAAUCGGGGCUCAGAGAGUUCCAGCAACUCAGUCUGGUCCUACAUCCAGUGGCGAAUGGGGAGAGAGGAGCAGAAAUUUGAUUCAAAUCCAGAUCUUUAUGACUCCAGAACCCCACACUGAAUCUGGUUUGUGUUUGGGCAUCUCUUACCUCCUGACACAACAGCCAGGCUAAGCUGUCCCUCUAUCUACCAGCUGGAAAGAAAAGUACUUUCUACAAUACAGUACGUUGUUGAUGGUGAAACUGGAGGCUCCAGGGCUUGUUUCAUAAACAUACCAGAGAUUUGUCCCACGAGACAAACGGCUUGAAGUUCUUGCCAAGGGCAGUUUAUGCUCUUCAGGAAAAUGACGGGCUGAAGUUAGGACAAACCCUGAUGCCUCCUCAAUACAGAUGGAGAAAGCCACCAACCGGUAUCAGGCUGCCUGGCCCUCCUGUGCCCAGGGCCAUGCCACUGGCUCCAGGACGUCACUGCACUUUCUGCU